rnacentral:rRNA from 1 species
GAUGAACGCUGGCGGCGUGCCUAAUACAUGCAAGUCGAGCGAACGGACGAGAAGCUUGCUUCUCUGAUGUUAGCGGCGGACGGGUGAGUAACACGUGGAUAACCUACCUAUAAGACUGGGAUAACUUCGGGAAACCGGAGCUAAUACCGGAUAAUAUUUUGAACCGCAUGGUUCAAAAGUGAAAGACGGUCUUGCUGUCACUUAUAGAUGGAUCCGCGCUGCAUUAGCUAGUUGGUAAGGUAACGGCUUACCAAGGCAACGAUGCAUAGCCGACCUGAGAGGGUGAUCGGCCACCCUGGAACUGAGACACGGUCCAGACUCCUACGGGAGGCAGCAGUAGGAAAUCUUCCGCACUGGGCGAAAGCCUGACGGAGCAACGCCGCGUGAGUGAUGAAGGUCUUCGGAUCGAAAACUCUGUUAUUAGGGAAGAACAUAUGUGUAAGUAACUGUGCACAUCUUGACGGUACCUAAUCAGAAAGCCACGGCUAACUACGUG